UACGUAGGGUGCAAGCGUUACUCGGAAUUACUGGGCGUAAAGCGUGCGCAGGCGGUUGGGCAAGACAGAUGUGAAAUCCCCGGGCUUAACCUGGGAACUGCAUUUGUGACUGCAUCGCUGGAGUGCGGCAGAGGGGGAUGGAAUUCCGCGUGUAGCAGUGAAAUGCGUAGAUAUGCGGAGGAACACCGAUGGCGAAGGCAAUCCCCUGGGCCUGCACUGACGCUCAUGCACGAAAGCGUGGGGAGCAAACAGG
rnacentral:rRNA from 1 species